rnacentral:rRNA from 1 species
GACGAACCGUGCGAACGUUAUUCGGAUUUAUUGGGCUUAAAGAGUGCGUAGGUGGCAGUGUAAGUCGGGGGCGAAAUACUAUCGGCUCAACCGUGGAAUUGCCUUCGAUACUGCAUUGCUUGAGGGGGAUAGGGGCAAGUGGAACUUCCGGUGGAGCGGUGAAAUGUGUUGAGAUCGGAAGGAACGCCAGUGGCGAAAGCGACUUGCUGGGUCUUCUCUGACACUGAGGCACGAAAGCUAGGGGAGCAAACGGG